AUGGAUGCGCUGGAGCUGCGCUUCGGGUGGUAUGUGCUUCUGGAAACUGUGGUCGGAGACGGCGAGCAGACAGUGACGCCGACAACCAUGCUGGCGACCUUGCGGCAACAUUACAGGGUGGUGCCGUCCGAGGUGGUCCUCGAGGUCGCGUGCCCACCACACGACCUGUGGCUGACCUUCUCGGCGGAGGAGAAGUGCUCUGAGGUGCCCCUUUCAUCAAUGAAGAUCAAGUGUUGCCGGCGUUGGAUUCAGUAUUUGCGUUGGUGCAGAAUGGUCCGUGCUCAGCCAGGUGCUCUAAAGUACAAGAACAAGCUUGGCUUUGAAGGCCUCCCAAACCAGGCCUGGACGACGGCGUCCGUGAAAGAUGUUCUCAAGCAGCUGGGUGGCGAGCUGAUUGAGAUCCUGCCGCCGGCAAGCAGCCGCGAGCUUGAGGUAAUGGUGUGGCUUCGUGACCCUUCCUUUGUUGGCAAGGUGGUGAUAGUGGAGAUACCUAAGCCGGAGCUGACAAACAAGCUACCCGAGUCCAUGGAUGAGUAUGAAGCAAUGCAUUCGAAUUGGGUGACUACAGACCGUCGUCGCCGAGGAAGAAGAAUAGCUUACUAUAUCCUGUCAUUUGCCACAUGA
rnacentral:rRNA from 1 species